GGGCGGUUAGCUCAGUUGGUUAGAGCAUCACGUUGACAUCGUGGGGGUCGUUAGUUCGAAUCUAAUAUCGCCCA
rnacentral:tRNA from 1 species